GGCAGCGGCGGCAGCAGCAGCCCCCCGCGUACCCGGGCAGUGCGGUACCGCGCGCGCGCGCGGGCGGGCGGCAGGCUGAAGGUGGUCCAUUGUGAGUGUUAGUCAUCUGUCAAAUAUUUGAUAGUGAUUUAUUCAGAAAAUUUCCCGUGUUGUUCAUGGAGUUUUUCAUCAGUAUGUCUGAAACCAUUAAAUAUAAUGAUGAUGAUCACAAAACUGUGUUUCUGAAAACAUUAAAUGAACAACGUUUGGAAGGAGAAUUCUGUGACAUAGCUAUUGUGGUUGAGGAUGUUAAAUUCCGAGCACAUCGGUGUGUACUUGCUGCCUGCAGUACCUACUUCAAAAAGCUUUUCAAAAAACUAGAAGUUGAUAGUUCAUCAGUAAUAGAAAUAGAUUUUCUCCGUUCUGAUAUUUUUGAGGAAGUUCUCAAUUACAUGUAUACUGCCAAAAUUUCUGU